CCUACGGGAGGCAGCAGUAGGGAAUAUUGCUCAAUGGGGGAAACCCUGAAGCAGCAACGCCGCGUGGAGGAUGAAGGUUUUCGGAUUGUAAACUCCUUUUGUUAGAGAAGAUAAUGACGGUAUCUAACGAAUAAGCACCGGCUAACUCCGUGCCAGCAGCCGCGGUAAUACGGAGGGUGCAAGCGUUACUCGGAAUCACUGGGCGUAAAGAGCGCGUAGGCGGGAUAGCAAGUCAGACGUGAAAUCCUAGGGCUUAACCAUAGAACUGCAGUUGAAACUGUUAGUCUCGAGUAUGGGAGAGGGAGGUGGAAUGCUUGGGGUAGGGGUAAAAUCCGUAGAGAUCAAGAGGAAUACUCAUUGCGAAGGCGACCUGCUAGAACAUAACUGACGCUGAUGCGCGAAAGCGUGGGGAGCAAACAGGAUUAGAUACCCCAGUAGUC
rnacentral:rRNA from 1 species